GGGUAUAGCUCAAUAGUAGAGCACAUGCUUAGCAUGCAUGAGGUCCUGGGUUCAAUCCUCAGUAAAUCCA
rnacentral:tRNA from 1 species